AGGAAGUUAGUCUAAACAAGACAUUUGAUUUCGGCUCAAAGAAUUGUGGUUCAAGUCCACAACUACCUU
rnacentral:tRNA from 1 species